rfam:Gossypium raimondii Chr11_contig_20, whole genome shotgun sequence.
UAUUAAAAGUUUCAUCCAUUUCUACUACUAGAAACUAGUGUGAUUGACAGAAUAACCAAAUAGUUACACGUGAUGUGCGGCACAUCAAGUGCACAUCAUGCUAACAAUAUGGACUACUUUUUAAUAGAAAAAAUGGAUGAAGUUUUUGACA